rnacentral:lncRNA from 1 species
ACUGGUGUUGAGAGCUCAGAGCUUGCUACAGGGCUACAGUGCUCCGAAGCCCUUCACGAUUAACUCUGGAUACAACUGUUUCGAGCCUGCCAGCAAUUAGAAAACUUUCUCUCUCACGGACAAAUCAUGACUGGAAUUCAUCAUGGAGAAAAUGUCAGCCACAUAGAAGAAGCACUUAGAAUGUUUGAGCACGGUCAUGAAAUAGUCACCGCUACGUCAGCGACGCACAUGAGGCAGAAUCUAGCUGUGUUCUUGUGGACAGGCUCUCUCAUCCUGGACUGGAUAAUCACAUGGCAGGGCUGUGCUUCACUCUCACUGGAGAUUGAGUUGCAUCAAUAGGUUAUAAUUUAGGAUGUGUAAGAAUCGCCUAGAACACUGCUGGCAACUUCUCUAGGGCUCUGGAUCACACAGGAAGGGUUGAGAAACAACUAAAAGCCAAGGACCCUUAACAGACGUGGGAGCUCCAAGAAAAGGAAAAAAAAAAAAAUUCACAAAAAUGUACUGCCAAGCGAAAAGCUGGAAAGAAUGAAUUUAAACUUGACUCUUUAAAGUUGGGGAGGAAAACAAAUGACAGGGAACUUUGAAACACUUAUCUUCAUUUGCACAGAGAAAUUUUCUUACACACGUGGAUUUUCUGGCUUCAGUGUUUGUCCAGUACUCACAGAGUUAAAUCUUAACUUUUCCUAUAUAUGAGUAAUGCAUUAAGAAGAACAGGGCACAGGAAGUCUCUUUAAGAAACAAGAAAUGUUUCUCUGUAAAUUAUUCAUCAUCAACAUAUUGGAGCUACUGAGGGAAUAUCCAAAUAUGUAAACAAAACGAGGAAAGUGUCCAGCUCCAAGUGGUCCUUGGGUAAUAAGACCACAUUGAAUGAGUACUUAGAAUGUGUUGCCUAUGCUCUGCUAUUCGUUUCUCUUUUAAGUUAGAGACUAGACCAGAUGGAACUAUGUGUUAAUUGGUGUAUUUCUGCUCAUUGGAGAAAACAAUAUCCAGCAGUAUUGUUGGACUCCUUACAUAGUAUUAUAAACUAUUUUAACCUAUUUUAAAGACAAUAGUGGUACUAUCAAGUAUUUUGCCCAUUUUUUAAAUCAAAAAUCUAAAUAUAUCCUGACAUUUAUUUUUACCAAACCGUUUUGAAGCUAAUCUUACCAUCUUAUUCCCUUACUUGUCCAAAAGUUCAAUAAAAUUUUUGAUGAGUUUUCAUCUU